rnacentral:rRNA from 1 species
AACGAACGCUGGCGGCAGGCUUAACACAUGCAAGUCGAACGGGUGUAGCAAUACAUCAGUGGCAGACGGGUGAGUAACACGUGGGAACCUUCCUAGGGGUACGGAACAACUCAGGGAAACUUGAGCUAAUACCGUAUACGUCCGUGAGGAGAAAGAUUUAUCGCCCUUAGACGGGCCCGCGUCGGAUUAGCUAGUUGGUGGGGUAACGGCCUACCAAGGCGACGAUCCGUAGCUGAUCUUAGAGGAUGAUCAGCCACACUGGGACUGAGACACGGCCCAGACUCCUACGGGAGGCAGCAGUGGGGAAUCUUGGACAAUGGGCGCAAGCCUGAUCCAGCCAUGCCGCGUGAGUGAAGAAGGUCUUCGGAUUGUAAAGCUCUUUUGCCAGGGACGAUAAUGACGGUACCUGGAGAAUAAGCCCCGGCAAACUUCGUGCCAGCCGCCGCCGUAAUAC